rnacentral:rRNA from 1 species
GACGAACGCUGGCGGCGUGCCUAAUACAUGCAAGUAGAACGCUGAAGAGAGGAGCUUACUCUUCUUGGAUGAGUUGCGAACGGGUGAGUAACGCGUAGGUAACCUGCCUUGUAGCGGGGGAUAACUAUUGGAAACGAUAGCUAAUACCGCAUAACAAUGGAUGACACAUGUCAUUUAUUUGAAAGGAGCAAUUGCUCCACUACAAGAUGGACCUGCGUUGUAUUAGCUAGUAGGUGAGGUAAUGGCUCACCUAGGCGACGAUACAUAGCCGACCUGAGAGGGUGGUCGGCCACCAUGGGACCGAGACCAGGCCCCGACUCCUACGGGAGGCAGCAGUAGGGGAUCUUCGGCAAUGGGGGCAACCCUGACCGAGCAACGCCGCGUGAGUGGAGAAGGUUUUCGGAUCGUAAAGCUCUGUUGUAAGUCAAGAACGGGUGUGAGAGUGGAAAGUUCACACUGUGACGGUAGCUUACCAGAAAGGGACGGCUAACUACGUG